GCUGUCCGCCGGGAGCAGUUGGCCACGGAGGUCCUCGGGACGGCCCUCGACUGGGUACUCUCCGGUAGUCCCGGUGCGGCUCCGGGCGGCGGCGC
rnacentral:tRNA from 1 species